rnacentral:lncRNA from 1 species
GCAGAGAAGCUUCUGGGACACAAAAGCAUUCACCUCAGUAGGAAGCAGAAAAACAGAAGCCGUCCCCAGUGUCGUGAUGCACCGAGAGUUCGUUGGGGACUCAAGUGACCUGAGAGAGAAGUGGUCAGUGCAGACCUCAUUCUUCCCUUUCCUUUCCCUGGCAGUGCCCUCCACUCACCCAAGAACAGAGCUACUCAGUAUACUUGACAACUUCUAGAAAGAUGUGGGAGCAGCCAGGGUCUGGGUGGGGCUCAGGACCAGGGGGUGAAGACAUGCAGGUUCCAUUCUCUGAGGGAGAAGGAGGAAGUAGACAGGUCCCAGCCUUGAUGCUUGUGAGGACAUUAUUGAAUUUGGUGGGUUUGGGGUUCUGGGACACAAUGCCCAGCCCCAACCUGGUGCCCUAGGUUCCCUUUUCUGUGGCCGGGACUGACUCAGCAGCUGUGUGGGCUAUUGCACUGAAGGCUUCAGUUACUACCUUCCCCCAGGUCCCUGGCAGUUGGUGGGCAAGCUUCUUGGGAAGCUCUGGGUGAUGAAACUUAUCACGGCAGCAGGAGAAUGGGACUGUGAAUUCUUGAGCCCCCACCUCCCACCUUCACCUUUCCUUCCUCUCCCAGGGGCUCAAAGUCUGGCAGGAGGAAGUAGGGGCAGUAACUGACUGGGCAGCCUUGCUGGAAAAAUGCGGCCACUCCUGCUCCUCGUGGCCUUUCUCCUGUCCCCAAGGGCUCGGGCAGGGCAGAUCAUCGGAGGCCGAGAGGCCAGGCCCCAUUCCCGCCCCUACAUGGCAUAUAUUCAGACCCUGACACCAGCAGGUCUGACCAUAUGUGGGGGGUUCCUGGUGCGAGAAGACUUCGUGAUGACAGCAGCUCGCUGCUUGGGAAGCCAAAUAAAUGUCAUCUUAGGGAUCCACAGUGUCACCGCUUCUGAAUGGACACAGCAGCGCAUCCCUGUUCUCAGACCCAUCCCCCACCCCAGAUACAAUCAGCGGAACAACCGGAAUGACAUCAUGUUACUGCAGCUGGCAUACAGAGUCAGACAGAAUGAAGCUGUGAGGCUGGUAGCUCUGCCUCAGACAGAGGAAAUGCUGAGCCCUGGGACCCAGUGCACUGUGGCCGGCUGGGGCCUCACCGGACAGAACAGGAGAGCAAUCACACUCCAGGAGGUGCAGCUGACAAUUCAGAGGGAUGGAGAGUGUCACAGUCGCUUCGAUUUCUAUACUGGCCAAAAGCAGAUCUGUGUAGGGGACCCAAGAGAGAGGAAGUCCACUUUCCUGGGGGACUCCGGUGGCCCCCUCGUGUGUAGCAACGUGGCCCAGGGCAUUGUCUCCUAUGGAGACAGGGUGGGGACCCCUCCAGCAGUCUUCACCAGAAUUUCCAGCUUCCUGCCCUGGAUAAGGAGAACAAUGAGACGCUUCCAAGAGCGGAACCAGAGUGACAUCCCAAGA